GACGAACGCUGGCGGCGUGCUUAGCACAUGCAAGUCGAACGGAAAGGCCCUGCUUUUGUGGGGUGCUCGAGUGGCGAACGGGUGAGUAACACGUGAGUAACCUGCCCUUGACUUUGGGAUAACUUCAGGAAACUGGGGCUAAUACCGGAUAGGAGCUCCUGCUGCAUGGUGGGGGUUGGAAAGUUUCGGCGGUUGGGGAUGGACUCGCGGCUUAUCAGCUUGUUGGUGGGGUAGUGGCUUACCAAGGCUUUGACGGGUAGCCGGCCUGAGAGGGUGACCGGCCACAUUGGGACUGAGAUACGGCCCAGACUCCUACGGGAGGCAGCAGUGGGGAAUAUUGCACAAUGGGCGGAAGCCUGAUGCAGCAACGCCGCGUGCGGGAUGACGGCCUUCGGGUUGUAAACCGCUUUCGCCUGUGACGAAGCGUGAGUGACGGUAAUGGGUAAAGAAGCACCGGCUAACAACGUG
rnacentral:rRNA from 1 species